CCGUACUGCACCUGCAUAUAUGCAUAUCAAUACGCGUACGAAGUCUCCGGCCCCCAUAGACACCCCUAACUUCUGAAACGCAUACGUCUGAUCAAAUGAUCUAAUCAUUAAAACUUUCAACAACGGAUCUCUUGGUUCCCACAUCGAUGAAGAACGCAGCGAAAUGCGAUAAGUAAUGUGAAUUGCAGAAUUCCGUGAAUCAUCGAAUCUUUGAACGCACAUUGCGCCCCCUGUUAUUCCGGGGGGCAUGCCUGUCCGAGCGUCAUUGCAACCCUCAAGCGCGGCUUGCGUGUUGGGCGCCGUCCCUGGUGGACGCGCCCGAAAGCCAGUGGCGGUACCGUGCUCCGGUGCCCGAGCGUAUGGACUUCAACCCGCUCUGGUGCCCGGCCGGCGCUGGCCUCGACCUCAACUUUACCAGGUUGACCUCGGACAGGUAGGGAUACCCGCUGA
rnacentral:rRNA from 1 species